AGAGUUUGAUCCUGGCUCAGAUUGAACGCUGGCGGCAGGCCUAACACAUGCAAGUCGAACGGUAGCACAGAGAGCUUGCUCUUGGGUGACGAGUGGCGGACGGGUGAGUAAUGUCUGGGAAACUGCCCGAUGGAGGGGGAUAACUACUGGAAACGGUAGCUAAUACCGCAUAACGUCUUCGGACCAAAGUGGGGGACCUUCGGGCCUCACACCAUCGGAUGUGCCCAGAUGGGAUUAGCUAGUAGGUGGGGUAAUGGCUCACCUAGGCGACGAUCCCUAGCUGGUCUGAGAGGAUGACCAGCCACACUGGAACUGAGACACGGUCCAGACUCCUACGGGAGGCAGCAGUGGGGAAUAUUGCACAAUGGGCGCAAGCCUGAUGCAGCCAUGCCGCGUGUAUGAAGAAGGCCUUCGGGUUGUAAAGUACUUUCAGCGGGGAGGAAGGCGGUGGAGUUAAUAGCUUCAUCGAUUGACGUACCCGCAGAAGAGC
rnacentral:rRNA from 1 species